rnacentral:rRNA from 1 species
CACGUAGGGUGCGAGCGUUGUCCGGAAUUAUUGGGCGUAAAGAGCUCGUAGGCGGUGUGUCGCGUCGGCCGUGAAAACCUGCAGCUUAACUGUGGGCUUGCGGUCGAUACGGGCAUCACUGGAGUUUGGCAGGGGAGACUGGAAUUCCCGGUGUAGUGGUGAAAUGCGUAGAUAUCGGGAGGAACACCAGUGGCGAAGGCGACUUCUUGGCCUGUUCUUGACGCUGAGGCGCGAAAGCGGGGGGAGCAAACGGG